rnacentral:rRNA from 1 species
CCUACGGGAGGCUGCAGUCGAGAAUCAUUCACAAUGGGGGAAACCCUGAUGGUGCGACGCCGCGUGGGGGAAUGAAGGUCUUCGGAUUGUAAACCCCUGUCAUGUGGGAGCAAAUUAAAAAGAUCGUACUCCAAGAGGAAGAGACGGCUAACUCUGUGCCAGCAACCGCGGUAAUACAGAGGUCUCAAGCGUUGUUCGGAAUCACUGGGCGGAACGCGUGCGUAGGCUGUUUCGUAAGUCGUGUGUGAAAGGCGCGGGCUCAACCCGCGGACGGCACAUGAUACUGCGAGACUAGAGUAAUGGAGGGGGAACCGGAAUUCUCGGUGUAGCAGUGAAAUGCGUAGAUAUCGAGAGGAACACUCGUGGCGAAGGCGGGUUACUGGACAGUAACUGACGCUGAGGCACGAAGGCCAGGGGAGCGAAAGGGAUUAGAUACCCCAGUAGUC